rnacentral:rRNA from 1 species
CCCAGUUCGGACUGCAGGCUGCAACCCGCCUGCACGAAGUUGGAAUUGCUAGUAAUCGCGCAUCAGCCAUGGCGCGGUGAAUACGUUCCCGGGCCUUGUACACACCGCCCGUCAAGCCAUGGGAGCCGGGGGCGCCUGAAGUCCGGGACCGCGAGGACCGGCCUAGGGCGAAACUGGUAACUGGGGCUAAGUCGUAACAAGGUAUC